rnacentral:rRNA from 1 species
CACGUAGGGCGCAAGCGUUGUCCGGAAUUAUUGGGCGUAAAGAGCUCGUAGGCGGUCUGUUACGUCUGCUGUGAAAACCCGGGGCUUAACCCUGGGCUUGCAGUGGAUACGGGCAGACUAGAGGCAGGUAGGGGAGAAUGGAAUUCCCGGUGUAGCGGUGAAAUGCGCAGAUAUCAGGAGGAACACCGGUGGCGAAGGCGGCUAUCUGGACAGUAACCGACGCUGAGGCGCGAAAGCUAGGGGAGCAAACAGG